ensembl:misc_RNA Metazoa_SRP Metazoan signal recognition particle RNA
CCCGGGCGCAGUGGCAUGUGCCUGUAGUCCCACUACUCGGGAGGCUGAGGUGGGAGGAUCGCUUGAGCCCAGGAGUUCUGGGCUGUAGUGCGCUAUGCCGAUCAGGUGUCCAUAUUAAGUUCGGCAUCAAUAUGGUGACCUCCCGGGAGCGGGGGACCACCAGGUUGCCUCAGGAGUGGUGAACCGGUCAAGGUCUGAAAUGGUGUAGGUCAAAACUCCAUGCUGAACAGUAGUGGGAUGUCGCCUGUGAAUAGCCAAAGCACUCCAGCCUGGGCAACAUAGUGAGACCCCAUCUCUA